rnacentral:rRNA from 1 species
UACGUAGGGGGCUAGCGUUGUCCGGAAUCAUUGGGCGUAAAGAGCGUGUAGGCGGCCCGGUAAGUCCGCUGUGAAAGUCGGGGGCUCAACCCUCGAAUGCCGGUGGAUACUGUCGGGCUAGAGUGCGGAAGAGGCGAGUGGAAUUCCUGGUGUAGCGGUGAAAUGCGUAGAGAUCUGGAAGAACACCAAAGGCGAAGGCAGCGUCCUGGGAAGUGACUGACGCUCAUGUGCGAAAGCUAGGUGAGCGAACGGG